UUUCUUGGAUUCACAGAUCACCGGAAGAAAAAGGUACUUUGCUCUGAAAAUUGAAAGGAGUCUUGAACUUCUGGGAGCUGCCUUUAGGGUGUUGUAUAUUUACAGAUGUACAUGUAAAGCUAAGAGGAAUUUCCCUUCUCUGUAGUUAGUAGGAUAGUAAAUUUUUCAAUGACCUGUAUUAAUAAACCCUCAAAGGUGUUUGUUAUCAAAAAAAGUUCCAUUGAUCAGCAUCUUCAAAGACAAGAAAUUCAAAGAUUAUGACUGACUCUGUUCUUGAAUGAAUCAUUUGCUGAAAGCUUGAAGUAUAAUGCAAUUCCAUCUACUAUAUUGUAAUACUUCCAGGGGCUAACUCACUACCUUUAAUCAGACAGAGUCAAAUCCUGCUCUUUCAAGAAGUGCCUUUAUGUUGCUGGAUCCCUGGCUUGUGCACAUCAAAGAACACCUGUAGCAGAGGGCAAGGGACCUAGUCUGCUUUUUUUACCUUCAGAUGACAGUAAAAGGUGAAGAAAUCUAAAUCAUGAAGUGUACCUGGCAUUUCUGAGGACUGAGCUCCAAGUGUUUAUUCUUGUGGGUGCACUCUACCACCGUAACACUUUUUCAUUACUAAUUAAGUAAUGAAAUUCACUAUUAGUAAUAGAAAUUCAGGAUGGUAUUAACCUAUUAUAUAGGUUAAUACCAUCCAAGUCUUUAAAUUGUAAAUCCUGUCACAGUUUGUAACAUCCUUUUUCUUAAAGGUUUUGGCUGAUUCCUCCUCCUUAUACUUAAGGUAAAAUUGGCACUGUCAAACUUUAAGCAUAAUACAAUCCUGGAGCAUGUCAGGUGUUAGGUUACAUCCACAUGUCUUUCACAGCACCUAAACUUUUUUUUUAAAUUUUUUUUUUUAAUUUUUAGUUUUUUUCAGGAUGUAUGGGGGCUUUCUGCAGACCCAUAUUAAAUGCACACACCAGAGGUUACACCUACUAAGAAAGGACUGAGUGCAAGAGGAAGCCAAGAUUUUUAGAGUAGGGAGAGAAAACUUACCUCAUGUUAAACUUAAUACUUCAAAAGGCUGAAGUGCUAUCUAAAUGAAGAAAAUGAAAAGGAUCAUAAGCCCUGGAAGGUUCAAUGUCUGACUGCAAUUAUGUAUCAAAAAAAGAGUUUGAGAAAGAGUUAACAGAUGUAAUAAAUCUCUCUUCAAAUGCAUCAAGAACAGGAACCAUGCCAGAGAGUUUGUAGGGCCAAAUAGAUGAUACAGGUAUCAAAGGAGAAGUUAGGUAAGACAGAGCUAUUGCAGAACAAGUAAACAAAGCCUUCAGAGUAUAAAAGGCCAGGGAGAUUCCCGUCUUGGAGCUUUCUUUGUGACAGGCUAAUCAGAUGACCAUCCCAAAAUUAAAAUUAUGGAACAGUAAAUGAACUGUAACAUAGUAGUAGAAGCAGAUGGCUUUGACUUAAGAGUUUUAGAUGUAUUCAGAGGUGAAACACCUCAAUGAUUUCACUGGUGUGUAACCACUUGCUUUGCACUGUUUUCAUAGCUGGCAAAUGUGACACCAGACUAAAAAUUUCAGCAUUUCAGCUGAGGUCUCAGGGAGGUAGGGGCAUGUAAAAAUAAAGUGCAUAGUAGAAAAACUGGUAGGAAUGGUAAGAAGGGAAUGGAAAGAGUGAACACAGACAAAUAUGAUGUGUUUGCAAAGAGUUAAUACUAACUUGUGCAAAGGGAAGUCCUACCUCAACAACCUAUGUGUUCUUUGAAGUGAUUUGCCAAAACAUGUUAGUUAUGAGAGACCUUUUGAUACAAACUACCCAGAUUUCUGAAAGGCUUUUGGCAAAAUUCCUUCAGCAAGGUCUUUGAAACACACUAAAUAAACAGUCUGGAUAUACAAGGGAAAGCACAGAUGAAAAAUAAGGUGAAGGGUAGUAACCAUGAUGGGGAGGCAGAGUAUGGUGAGCUUUCCUGUUGGGGCAGGGACACUAAUGGAACUCCAUGAUGAGUUUGUGCCAGGAUCUGGGACGUCUGUGUUCUGUGGUACUAUCCUUAAUAAAAUAAUGACCACAAGCAGGAAGAGGAUAUUCUGCUACAUAAAAUUCUGACCUAACAGUGCUGAUACUUGUGUGUUAAGGUGGGCUCUUCUUCCAUUGCCUGUCAAGCCGGUUGUAGCUGCUGACAGAAGUACUAAUUUGAGGUCUGUAAGACAGAUGUUAUGAACUUCCACUAAGCUUCUCAAUAUCAGCUUUUGAAUGUUGGGUGACUUAGAGGUGAAAAUGGGCAUUCAUGAGUCUUAAAAAGGCUCCUUGACUCUCUGUGUAAAUGUUUUCGUAGAAUGAGCAGUGCAACUAUCCCUUAAUCUGUGGAUCACUAACAGAUUUAUCUAAAGGGACACUCUCUCUACAGAUUCCUGCUCACACCAUUUUGUCAGAAGUCAGGUGGAAUAAUUUUAGGCUACUCUGUAUGGCAUGUACAGAUUCAUAGUUCUAUAUUAAUUGAUAAUGAAGAAUUUUAUGAAGCUCUGAGCUGUGUUCCUUUAAUACUGAAGACUGACACAUGAGGAUGUGUUACCAAUCAGAGUGAUUUCUGGUAGGGACUUUGGUAGCUAAAGUUCUGGUUUUGUGCCAAGGAAUCUGCUUGACUCAUUUCAUGUGUCAGUGGUGUCAAUUUGUCUUGCUCUUUGUUUGAUUCAGUUUUUUUCUACUCUUAAUCUUUGCUGGUGGGACAUUUGUUAUCCAGAUCUCUCCAUCAUGCUGCAAAAAAUGCUGUAAUGGACUGUGAUGUAAUUUUGUGUUAUUUUGGGCAGAGAGUUGUGAAACAACUGUUUUUGAGCUUACAGACACUGCACAGCACCCCAAGGAGACCUGGGCAAGCAGAAGUAUCCCAGCAGGUCCAAGACAAGGGCAACGAUGGUUGAAGUCAGUCUAUAUUGUUGAGCUUGCAAGUCCCUGGCCUUCAGCGAGUGCUUUGCAUUUCUUCAGGAUGUUUCACUCCAGAGUAAAAGACCAAAGAAACCAGCUGUGGAAAUGAUACUUGAAUGUGAUUUGGGAGAUAAAGGUCUGAUGAAGAAAGUUGCUCUGGAGAAUAUCUACUGUGGGAUGAGUGGAAAGCCUCCCUCAUAUGGAAACAGUUCAGAAGAGUUGAUUUUAGCCCAGGAAGAACAGUCAGCAAGGGACCUAUCCUUCUGAAGAAGACAAGGAAAAUGAGGCUGAGAGGGACAGAGAGACACCCAGGAUUGCAUUGCCUGUCUGUGGCACAGCCGUGGUUUGUAUGUGGGAUUUCUUGGCAUCAGGAAAAUUUGGGAUUUGCUGCAUUACCAGAUAUAUUGCAGGCUGCAAG